AAGUCGUAACAAGGUUUCCGUAGAACCUGCGGAAGGAUCAUUAACACAUAUCCAACGUUAAAACAGCAAUCCCUGGUAAAUCAUUGUUGACCAGCUUUUGAGUCAGGGACCUCUGCAGCUACGGUUGAGCGAUUGCAUCUAGUGACCUGGCAUCCCCAAGUAAUCAGUGUUCUGAAAGUGUCAUUGAUUGUGUAAGGAUGGCGCAGUCACGAUCGCUGUAGGCCCACACGGCCGGCGACCGGGUCACCGGGCUCUGCUCCUUUACGACAACUACAGUCUAACUUCGCCGCGCGUGAAAUUCGCACGGCACCAAAAACCGAACAACUGUUAACAAUGGAUAUCUUGGUUCUC
rnacentral:misc_RNA from 1 species